CGGUGAUAAACCGGAGGAAGGUGGGGACGACGUCAAGUCAUCAUGGCCCUUACGAGUAGGGCUACACACGUGCUACAAUGGCGCAUACAGAGGGCGGCCAACUUGCGAAAGUGAGCGAUCCCAAAAAGUGCGUCGUAGUCCGGAUUGGAGUCUGCAACUCGACUCCAUGAAGUCGGAAUCGCUAGUAAUCGUGGAUCAGAAUGCCACGGUGAAUACGUUCCCG
rnacentral:rRNA from 1 species